UUUGACCUACGGGGCGCAGCAGUAGGGAAUCUUCCACAAUGGGCGCAAGCCUGAUGGAGCAACACCGCGUGAGUGAAGAAAGGUUUCGGCUCGUAAAGCUCUGUUGUUGGAGAAGAACGUGCGUGAGAGCAACUGUUCACGCAGUGACGGUAUCCAACCAGAAAGUCACGGCUAACUACGUGCCAGCAGCCGCGGUAAUACGUAGGUGGCAAGCGUUAUCCGGAUUUAUUGGGCGUAAAGC
rnacentral:rRNA from 1 species